rnacentral:rRNA from 1 species
CAGCAGCCGCGGUAACACCGAGGGUGCAAGCGUUAAUCGGAAUUACUGGGCGUAAAGCGUGCGCAGGCGGUUAUAUAAGACAGAUGUGAAAUCCCCGGGCUCAACCUGGGAACUGCAUUUGUGACUGUAUAGCUAGAGUACGGCAGAGGGGGAUGGAAUUCCGCGUGUAGCAGUGAAAUGCGUAGAUAUGCGGAGGAACACCGAUGGCGAAGGCAAUCCCCUGGGCCUGUACUGACGCUCAUGCACGAAAGCGUGGGGAGCAAACAGGAUUAGAUACCCCCGUAGUCCCUGUCUCUUAUAC